GAUGAACGCUGACAGAAUGCUUAACACAUGCAAGUCUACUUGAUUCUACUUCGGUAGUUGAUGGUGGCGGACGGGUGAGUAACGCGUAAAGAAUCUGCCCUUUAGUUUGGGAUAACCUUUGGAAACGAAGGCUAAUACCGAAUAUUAUGGAGAUGGCGCAUGAAGACUUCAUGAAAGCUAUAUGCGCUAGAGGAGGACUUUGCGUCCCAUUAGUUAGUUGGUGAGGUAAUGGCUCACCAAGACCGCGAUGGGUAGCCGGCCUGAGAGGGUGAUCGGCCACAAGGGAACUGAGACACGGUCCUUACUCCUACGGGAGGCAGCAGUGGGGAAUAUUGGACAAUGGACCACAAGUCUGAUCCAGCAAUUCUGUGUGCACGAUGAAGGUCUUCGGAUUGUAAAGUGCUUUCAGUAGGGAAGAAAAAAAUGACGGUACCUACAGAAGAAGCGACGGCUAAAUAUGUGCCAGCCGCCGCCGUAAGAC
rnacentral:rRNA from 1 species